AUGUUGCUACCCUGUCUAUGGAAGAGGCUGGGUCUGGUAGUUCGAGUAGCGGCAAUGGGCAGUUUGAUCAACAAAGUCCCACCACUCAAUGGCCAUGUACUUCUAAAACCCACCUUUUCCUUGCUCACACUUGACAUUCAUCCUAAGCCACAUCGCUUGCUAUAUCACUAUGACAUUCAUCUUAAGCCACCAACAUUUCUAUGA